ensembl:lncRNA
GCUACAGAGCCCAGGCACCCAGCAGGGAAGGCUAAGGAAUCAACAAUGCAAUUAAAAGUCUUCAGCCAGCAAUGGAAAUAUUGAACAGUUGCACUGUUUCAAGUGAAGAGACAAUUGGUAACUCCAUAGACAGAGGGAAAAGCAUUAAGGUCAAUCCAGACAGGAUUUCAAUCAAGAGGAGAAAGCUAUCACUUGGUCAGAGACUUUGAAGGCAUGAAAAUUAAUCUGAGUACUCUGAAGGAGCUAGCCUGCCAAAGGAGGAAAAAUCAGAGCCUUUCAAACCAAAGGACUCAAAGAAAACAUCCUGGAAAGGCUAAAGCAAGGAGAGCGCCACAAGCCACCAGCUCAUUUUAAGUCAGUGAGGUACUGAACUAUUAAGGGGAAAGAAACUGGCAAUAUUGACUGAGAAAACUGGGACAAAGCCUGCAGAGGUUUAAUCCAGUUUGGUGCACAUACCUUUCAGCGUUACAUGAAAGCUUUUAGUUCCCUGGCCACACUGAAAUAGAAGACCUGAAAGCAACCUCAAAGGUUUCAUGAUUUGACUGCUCCAAGAAGGGAAAAAUAAAUUCAAGACCACAGAAUACAAGUAAACAGAAGCUGACUGGGGAAUCUCAAGAACUCAGGACAGCCUCAAACUCACAGGAAGUGUUCUUCUGCUCCAAAACUGUUUCAUUUUUCCAAAUCUGCUUGCUCUAAAAACUGUUUGUGCCAGCUUCCAGAAGGUGAAGGCUUCUGCUUCUUCAUUUGUUUGGGAUUAGCAAUAAAUUCAGACAAGUCCUCCCUCCCCUUUCAGCUCUCCCCAGCCUAACAACACGUUGUAGACCUCAUACCACUGGACACUGCAAAAAAAAAAAAAAAAAAAAGAUGCCUGCAGGGACUCAACAGAUUGAAUGAAUCAAUAGGGCACAGCAGGAAGCACAGCAUCCAGAUGCAGCUCUCAGCUGUAUUGCACCACCCAUUCCUGAAAAGGAGGUAGGGAACAGACACUAUGCUUUUUUAUUUUCCCUCCCCAUUAUUAUCUAUCCACUGCUGAAGACAAAAUACCUGGCUAGAGGCACCUCUUAUUUGAUCACACAGAUAACCAAGGCAUAUAUGUCAUUCAUCAAUUCCUAUCAAUUCCUCUCUAGACACCAGAAGUUUUAAUCCUGUGCUUGAUUUGAUAAGAUGAAUGGGCUCUGUGCCAGAGAAAUGGGGACACAGAUGAGCUCUGCCUCUCGUGCUUUCUAGAGUUCAGAGGACACAUCUCACUUCAUCUUUUUGUUACAAUUGCAGCAGCCUGAAUUACUCACAAUUUAACCAUUCUGGAUAUUUUAGAGAUAUGGGCCUUGUUGGAGGUCAGCACUGCAAUCCUACCAAGGAGAAAAUAGGUUUGUUAAAGACUGUACUUGGGAUAAUACCUGAAAAGACCGAUCUUGCAGAAUAUUAAGAGCUUAUUCUGAUGAACUGAAAGCGCUUU